GAAGAAACUAUUAAAAAAGAAAAAAGAAUCAGAAGAAACUACAAAAGCAGACUGUGUGUUUAACGCCAACGUUUGUGGCAAUAAUGGAGGCAUUGGCAAACGCAUUUUCGGUGUUAGAACUGGACGCCGAUGACAGCAAAGUUCCCGUCAACUCUGUUGCUUCUGUAUCCACUGGGAGCACAAGCGCUUCAGGUAGAUGUGAUAAGAGAGUUGAUGGCUCUGCUGACAGUUCAUUGGUUAAAAAUGAGAAACAGAACCAACAAAGCAUAGUGUCUCUUUCAAGUGAAUACAAGUUGCCUCUUGUUUGGAUUGACUUGGAAAUGACUGGUUUGAAUAUUGAAGUGGAUCGUAUACUGGAGAUUGCUUGUAUAAUAACAGAUGGGAAUUUAACCAAAACAUUAGAGGGUCCUGAUUUGGUCAUCCAUCAAACUAAGGAAUGUUUGGAUAAGAUGGGAGAAUGGUGUCAAAGUCAUCAUGCGGCCAGUGGUUUGACUAAGAAGGUCCUGAAAAGUACUAUUAGUGAAAGAGAAGCUGAAAAGCAGGUUAUUGAAUUUGUAAAAAGAAAUGUUGGUUCAUAUACACCUCAUCUAGCAGGAAAUUCGAUAUAUGUGGAUCUUCAGUUUCUAAAGAAAUAUAUGCCAGAAUUAGCUGCUCUCUUUUCUCAUGUGCUUGUUGAUGUUAGUAGUAUUAAAGCACUCUGCAUUCGCUGGUAUCCAAAGGAUCAGAAGAAAGCACCUGCAAAGGAAAACAAACAUAGGGCCAUGGAUGAUGUCAGAGAAAGCAUUGAGGAACUCAGAUACUACAAGGAAAACAUUUUCAAACCCAGGACUAGGAAGUGAAACAAGUUUGCAGAUAAGAAAUGGUGCUGAUGGGUCUUAAUGGGAAGGUAUACAAAAUUUUUUCAACGGAGGAAAACAAAUUUAUAUUUUACACGAUGCCUGAAGGAAAUAUAUGGUGGCAAGAAGGGGCUAUAGUAAUUUUUUACUUCCAGAAUUUUCACAGGUGGUGGAUUGCAUUGAGCGAAAAUCAUGAAGAUUGCAUCUCUUGUUUGUAAUGUUUAAAUGUGGGUAUGGGGUGGAAAUAGGUUAAGAGUUUAUCAAGUGGCAUGUGGCAUGCCUUGAUUUGUGGUUGGCUUGGCCUAAACUAUUUAGCUUAGAGAUCAGACUCAAGCCAAUCCUACAACCAGUCUUCUUUAAAUAGGCUAGGCCAUUAUACUUUGAAUGUCAUUUGGAACUUUAAGUUAAGCUGACCUACUUGUAUGUU